GCACCCGUAGCUCAACUGGAUAGAGCGUCUGGCUACGGACCAGAAGGUUGUGGGUUCGAAUCCUACCGGGUGUAC
rnacentral:tRNA from 1 species